rnacentral:rRNA from 1 species
UCCUACGGGGGGCAGCAGUGGGGAAUAUUGCACAAUGGGGGAAACCCUGAUGCAGCAACGCCGCGUGAGUGAAGAAGUCAUUCGUGAUGUAAAGCUCUAUCAGCAGGGAAGAAAAUGACGGUACCUGAGUAAGAAGCCCCGGCUAACUACGUGCCAGCAGCCGCGGUAAUACGUAGGGGGCAAGCGUUAUCCGGAUUUACUGGGUGUAAAGGGCGUGUAGCCGGGUUGACAAGUCAGAUGUGAAAUCCUGCGGCUUAACCGCAGAACUGCAUUUGAAACUGUUGAUCUUGAGUACUGGAGAGGCA